rnacentral:rRNA from 1 species
AGCGAACGCUGGCGGCAGGCUUAACACAUGCAAGUCGAGCGCCCCGCAGGGGGAGCGGCAGACGGGAGAGUAACACGUGGGAACAUACCUUUUGGUUCGGAACAACUGAGGGAAACUUCAGCUAAUACCGGAUAAGCCCUUCCGGGGAAAGAUUUAUCGCCGAAAGAUUGGCCCGCGUCUGAUUAGCUAGUUGGUGAGGUAACGGCUCACCAAGGCGACGAUCAGUAGCUGGUCUGAGAGGAUGAUCAGCCUCACUGGGACUGAGACACGGCCCAGACUCCUACGGGAGGCAGCAGUGGGGAAUGUUGGACAAUGGGGGCAACCCUGAUCCAGCCAUGCCGCGUGAGUGAUGAAGGCCUUAGGGUUGUAAAGCUCUUUUGCCCGGGAAGAUAAUGACGGUACCGGGAGAAUAAGCCCCGGCUAACUUCGUG